rnacentral:rRNA from 1 species
CCUACGGGUGGCUGCAGUGGGGAAUCUUCCGCAAUGGGCGCAAGCCUGACGCAGCGACGCCGCGUGCGUGAUGAAGGUUUUCGGAUCGUAAACCUCUGUCAGCAGGGAAGAACGGUUACUGUGCUAAUUAGCAGCGCAUUGACGGUACCUGCACAGGAAGCACCGGCUAACUCCGUGCCAGCAGCCGCGGUAAUACGGAGGUGGCAAGCGUUAAUCGGAAUUAUUGGGCGUAAAGCGCGCGUAGGCGGUUUGUUAAGUCUAGGGUGAAAUCCACGGGCUCAACGUGGGAACUGCAUUUGAAACUGGCGAACUGGAGUGUAUGAGAGGAUAGUGGAAUUCCAGGUGGAGGGGUGAAAUCCGUAGAUAUAUGGAGGAACAUCAGUGGCGAAGGCGACUAUCUGGCACAUAACUGACGCUGAGGCGCGAAAGCGUGGGUAGCAAACAGGAUUAGAUACCCCUGUAGUC